rnacentral:misc_RNA from 1 species
GAUGAAGAACGCAGCGAAAUGCGAUAAGUAAUAUGAAUUGCAGAAUUCAGUGAAUCAUCGAAUCUUUGAACGCACAUUGCGCCCGCCAGUAUUCUGGCGGGCAUGCCUGUUCGAGCGUCAUUUCAACCAUCAAGCCCCCGGCUUGUGUUGGGGACCUGCGGCUGCCGCAGGCCCUGAAAACCAGUGGCGGGCUCGCUAGUCACUCCGAGCGUAGUAGUUACAUCUCGCUCAGGGCGUGCUGCGGGUUCCGGCCGUUAAAAGCCUUAUUUACCCAAGGUUGACCUCGGAUCAGGUAGGAAGACCCGCUGAACUUAAGCAUAUCAAUAAGCGGAGGA